ACUUGAAUAGUCAAGUGGUCAAGACGCCCUUGAAAAUAAUAGAUGAGAAAAUCAAGAAAGCAUGGAGUUCGAUUCCUCCUUCAAGUA